rnacentral:rRNA from 1 species
AGCAGCCGCGGUAAUUCCAGCUCCAAUAGCGUAUAUUAAAGUUGUUGCAGUUAAAAAGCUCGUAGUUGAAUUUCGGGGUCAGUAGGUUGGUCGUGCCACUGGUACGUACUGGUCUCACUGAUUCCUCCUUCCUGAUGAACCGUAAUGCCAUUAAUUUGGUGUUGCGGGGAAACUGGACUGUUACUUUGAAAAAUUAGAGUGUUUAAAGCAGGCUAACGCUUGAAUACAUUAGCAUGGAAUAAUGAAAUAGGACGUUCGAUCUUAUUUUGUUGGUUUCUAAGAUUGACGUAAUGAUUAAUAGGGAUAGUUGGGGGCAUUAGUAUUCAAUUGUCAGAGGUGAAAUUCUUGGAUUUAUUGAAGACUAACUACUGCAAAAGCAUUUGCCAAGGAUGUUUUCAUUAAUCAAGAACGAAAGUUAGGGGAUCGAAGACGAUCAGAUACCGUCGUAGUCUUAACCAUAAACUAUGCCGACUAGGGAUCGGAUGAUGUUUAAUUUUUUAAUGUACUCA